GUUGAAACACAAGUUCCCGUACGAUCACCAAAGUUAAGCAACGCCGAGCCUGGUCAGUGCCUAGAUGGGUGACCGUUUUGGGAUACAGGGUGCCGUAAG